CACGUAGGUGGCUAGCGUUAUCCGGAAUUACUGGGCGUAAAGGGUGCGUAGGUGGUUUCUUAAGUCAGAGGUGAAAGGCUACGGCUCAACCGUAGUAAGCCUUUGAAACUGGGAAACUUGAGUGCAGGAGAGGAGAGUGGAAUUCCUAGUGUAGCGGUGAAAUGCGUAGAUAUUAGGAGGAACACCAGUUGCGAAGGCGGCUCUCUGGACUGUAACUGACACUGAGGCACGAAAGCGUGGGGAGCAAACAGGAUUAGAUACCCUGGUAGUCCCUGA
rnacentral:rRNA from 1 species